rnacentral:lncRNA from 1 species
GGGAGGCGCUGAGAUUCCGGGCCCGGCGGCCGCGGGGAGCGGGUGUCCGUGAGGAGCCGGGCAGCCGGCCUCCUCUCUUUGCCUUUUGGGGGUUCUUUUUGUAAUAGCAGCAGCAUGGAUUCACCAGCCUGAUUUGCUGCUUCUUCCUGCAUCCAGCCUGCUCCUGGGUCUCCUUCCCCACCUCACAGCCAUGGCAACCAAAUGCACGGGCUUGUGAAGACCAGCAGCCCAACUUCAGCAAGGUCUCGCUGGCCUGGACAGAAGAGCCAAGGUACCAGAUCCAUUUCCAAGGCAAAAGUCCCCAAGUUUACAGUUAAACUCAACUUGCUUAUUUGUGGAUUUUGCUGGGGCACAGUAGCCCCACCUAAAGGGAGUCACAUGAAAUCUUAGCCUUUUACUUGUCACAGAGUAUAAGAAUAAAACCUUUGAUGAUUGAACGGAUUAUCCUCAGGAUAACAUCUGUGAUUCUUCAUGAGAGUUAUGUCUUCUUAAACCCUUGGAAGCUGUCAACACUACAGAUUUCCCAAAGCACCAAGCUGCAAACAGCAGAUUGCUCUCAAGCAAUGAUGCUGAAGCAUGAAGCAAGAAUCAUGUUCCCAUAUCAGUGUUUUCACUGCUCUGAACCCAGCACCUAGCACAGCUCCUGAUAGAGCUGUGUCAAACAUGACAGAACUCCUGAUAGAGCUGAGAGUCAACAUGUCCGUUCAAUGAGUGAAUAGGAGUGGGCUAUCCCAAUGCAAAUUUCAAAGCUCUCAGCAAGACAAGGUGGAGAUGAAUUACCAUGUGCAUGGAGAGAAGCCAUGGCCCAAGGAUGGGAAUUGCAGAUCUGGAGGCUGAAGCCCCACAUUGGCAUCCUGGCUCUACUCCCACUGGUUCUGUCACCCUGGGCAAGGCACUUCUCCCAAGCUGCAGUUCUGCCAACUGAGAAGCAGAGACAAUGACACUUGUUCCGCUCACCUUGCAGGGUUGUUGUGAGAAGGAAAUAAAGUAUUUGGAAGCACUUUA